GACGAACGCUGGCGGCGUGCUUAACACAUGCAAGUCGAGCGGUAAGGCCCUUUCGGGGGUACGACGAGCGGCGAACGGGUAGAGUAACACGUGGGUGACCUGCCCUUAGCUCUGGGAUAAGCCUGGGAAACUGGGUCUAAUACCGGAUAUGACUCCAUGACGCAUGUUGUGGGGUGGAAAGCCUUGUGCGGCUAGGGAUGGGCCCGCGGCCUAUCAGCUUGUUGGGUGGGGUGAUGGCCCACCAAGGCGACGACGGGUAGCCGGCCUGAGAGGGCG
rnacentral:rRNA from 1 species